rnacentral:misc_RNA from 1 species
GAUGAAGAACGUAGCGAAAUGCGAUAAGUAAUGUGAAUUGCAGAAUUCAGUGAAUCAUCGAAUCUUUGAACGCACAUUGCGCCCGCCAGUAUUCUGGCGGGCAUGCCUGUUCGAGCGUCAUUUCAACCAUCAAGCCCCCGGGCUUGUGUUGGGGACCUGCGGCUGCCGCAGGCCCUGAAAAGCAGUGGCGGGCUCGCUGUCACACCGAGCGUAGUAGAUUUUAUCUCGCUCAGGGCGUGCUGCGGGUUCCGGCCGUUAAAAAGCCUUUUUUACCCAAGGUUGACCUCGGAUCAGGUAGGAAGACCCGCUGAACUUAAGCAUAUCAAUAAGCGGAGGA